rnacentral:rRNA from 1 species
AACGAGCGCAACCCUCGUCAUUAGUUGCUAACAGUUCGGCUGAGAACUCUAAUGAGACUGCCUACGCAAGUAGGAGGAAGGUGAGGACGACGUCAAGUCAUCAUGGCCCUUACGUCCAGGGCUACACACGUGCUACAAUGGGGUAUACAAAGAGCAGCAAUACGGUGACGUGGAGCAAAUCUCAAAAAUAUCUCCCAGUUCGGAUUGUAGUCUGCAACUCGACUACAUGAAGUUGGAAUCGCUAGUAAUCGUAGAUCAGCUAUGCUACGGUGAAUACGUUCCCGGGUCUUGUACUCACCGCCCGUCACACCAUGGGAGUUGAACUCAUUCGAAGCGGGGAUGCUAAAAUAGCUACCUUCCACAGUGGAGUCAGCG